rnacentral:rRNA from 1 species
AGCCCACCAGCGCCGAUGGUACUGCGAAAGCGGGAGAGUAGGCCGCCGCCAGUU